rnacentral:rRNA from 1 species
AUACGGAGGAUCCGAGCGUUAUCCGGAUUUAUUGGGUUUAAAGGGUGCGUAGGUGGUUUGAUAAGUCAGCGGUGAAAGUUUGCAGCUUAACUGUAAAAAUGCCGUUGAAACUGUCGGACUUGAGUGUAAAUGAGGUAGGCGGAAUGCGUGGUGUAGCGGUGAAAUGCAUAGAUAUCACGCAGAACUCCGAUUGCGAAGGCAGCUUACUAAGCUACAACUGACACUGAAGCACGAAAGCGUGGGGAUCAAACAGGAUAGAUACCCUGGUAGUCCACGCAGUAAACGAUGAUUACUAGCUGUUUGCGAUACACAGUAAGCGGCACAGCGAAAGCGUUAAGUAAUCCACCUGGGGAGUACGCCGGCAACGGUGAAACUUAAAGGAAUUGACGGGG